AUUUUUUUUCAUUCCGCAGUUUUUGUUAAUUGGUAAAAUACUUGCAGAAUCUUGAUGUCUUUGCGGUGUUGGAGAUAACUCUUUCCUUUUUUUGCUCUCGUUUGAUUAGGCCUUCUUGAUGUCUCCCUUUAUUUCUGGCGAGAUGCACAUGGUGUCUCGCUUCAGCGGAGGUUCCCAUUGCUUCUUCUGUCUGCGAUUGUGCAAGACUUGUGUAGACCAAAGGCGGAUCUAGAGCGGCGGCGAUCCGGGUGAAAGGGGGGUCUCGGAUCAGUUUACUAUUGAAGUACGACGAACCAUUUCCCCCGGGCCUUGUCAACUCUAAGCUUCGUAGCUGUGGCGCGUGGUUUCUGUUGGUCACCUUGUUUGCAGAUCUGGAAACUGGCCAAGUAAGGCAGUUUUGGCUCUCAAAUCUGUAAUGAGAGGUGGGUAUGUGGUAACGUUCGUAGCUUUCCCCGGUUCUCAUGAUGUAUCUUUUGGACCUUUUUUAUUGAGCCUUGUUUCAGUUUUUAGAGGUUUAGGGAUUGAAUGUCUCAGUGUGGUUCAAGUUUUGUUUGGUAAGUGACUGUUUCAGUUGCAAAUCUUUCAUGUUAUGGUAGUAGCAGUGUUUUCUCGUCGAUCUUGGACUAGUGCUGAUUGAAUUUUUGGAGAUUUGAUCAACGAGGCUUGUGUGUUUGGAAGUUGUGGUGGGCUUCUAUCUAGAUAUACAAGGAGCACCAGAAAGUUCGUUCCAGCCGUAUCUGAGAGAUGUGUAAAUCGUGAAGCGGUCCUGCUUGUCGGAAUGUAAAGUCUUGGUUAUAGGUUACUAGUUGGGGAUGGUGUCGUUCGGCAGGCUAUAGGCGGCAACGAUAGAUCCAGAGAAAGGAGACUUGGUGUCUUCAGUUGUUGAAGCGGAAGGCAUCGUAUGGCGGGCCAAGGGCAGCUGCGAUGUAUCCAGAUCAUAGCUCUCUAUUCAGUGGGAAGGUCUGUUCCACUGAGUCUUCCUUUGCCUUUGUGUAGCUGGUUUACGUUGGUUAUGAGUUAGUUGCGGUUCCUAGUUUAUUUUUCAUGUCUGGAUAUAUUUGAAAAUCACCCCGUAAUGGAUUUUAGCUGCCUUUUCUUGGGCCCUUGUAUGAAAACUUAUGUUCCAACGUUGAAUGAAUACUAUCAGUUCAGGGAAAAAAAAUUUAGCGGA